GACAGAGGGGGCAAGCGUUGCUCGGAAUUACUGGGCGUAAAGGGCGCGUAGGCGGGAUGGCAAGUCGGUCGUGAAAUCCUUCGGCUCAACCGAAGAACGUCGAUCGAUACUGCUGUUCCUGAGGGUUGCAGAGGAGACUGGAAUUCCCGGUGUAGCGGUGAAAUGCGUAGAGAUCGGGAGGAACAUCUGUGGCGAAGGCGACUGCCUGGACCAGCACUGACACUGAGGCACGGAAGCGUGGGGAGCAAACAGG
rnacentral:rRNA from 1 species